AUAGCCAAAAUCCAGGAUUAUUGGAGAUGAAACGAACUAUGAUGUAUCCCUGUCCGGGAAUUUGCACAGUAUCCUUGGCCACGGCAGCGCUGUCAUCCGAUAAGCGAGGGAGACGACCUCUGCGAUCCAGCUCCUGAAUCUAUCGUUGAGAUUGCCCAGUACUCCUUGGCCCACCAAACGGAAAGUGAAGCCGUGUAUGUGGAAGGGAUGUGUGCUAUCCAAGUAGUUGGCUACAACCAUCUCCAGAGGACGAUAGGCCGGCAGCCGCAUCACAUUCACACACUCGCAAAUUUCACGCUCACAAUUUCGUCCUUCUGCGGCCAGGGAGCUCUUAUUGCAGAAGUACCCAUCGUCCUGGUAGAGAUGCCUGCCCUGCAGCAGGGAAAUUGCAGGGGAAUUAUACGAAAUAUCACUGAUUUGAAACUGCAGUUCUCCGUUUGGCGCUGUCCGCGAACCGAAACUGGAGUAGUGGGUCAGGAACUUGGUGUAACGAGUCCAGGGAACAGGAUCCACGGAUCGCAGAGCCACGGUGCCAACAUUGUUAUCCUUGUCCAAGGACUGGCGGAGUGAGGAUAUGGCACUGGAAUUGGCAGGCUUAAAUCGAAAGUCGUUGACCAAGACUGGAUCUUCCUCUGCAGCCCGACUGGCUUGCUUAUCCAGAAUAUCACCCUGUGGCAACUCAGAGCGCGCAGAUCCGCGAUAGCUGAGCACAGCUCCUUGAUAAAGAUUUCGACCCUCGCACUGCUCAUAGCCUUUAAUUCUUAUCCAAUAGUUUUUCUUAUACUGGUUGGCUUCCAAAAUGAAAUCAAAACGCUCCGCGGAGGUCAAGAAGAAGCCAUCGGCGAGCACGGGUUCAAUGUCAUUGCCAUCGGUGCUGAUCAUCAAGAGUCUGUGCUGUUCGAUGGAGAACUCCACGGGACAAUUGGCUAUGCCGUUGAGGAUAACUCGUAUCCUGUAGCGAUAGCCAGGAGUAACUCGAAGUCGUUCAUACCGAUGACGGUUAUCAUUGUCGGGCAGUUGGCUAAGAUGAUUGCGACCCUUGCCAUUCACCAGAAUAUUCCGCACAUCCUGCAGAUUGUACUCGUAGAAGAUAUCCUGGAUCAUAAGGGUGUGCUCCACCAGAUCAUAAUCGUACAGCUGCGCGUGCUGAUUCUCCUGUCGCGUUUGGCGAACUAUCAGAGCACCAGCCACUCCGAAUCCCCGCUGCCAGCCCACAUGGCUGUGGUACCACAGCGAACCACUUCGAUCCACCUGGAACUCGUAGCGUUGCACCUCGCCAGGCUGCAAAGGAUACUGGGUAAUGAAGGGUGCCCCAUCCAUUUCGGGGGUUCUAUGCAUGUGCACACCAUGCCAGUGCAUCGUUGUUGGCUCACUUAGAUAAUUCAGCACAUCCACGACAACAGUGUCAUUCUCGCAGAGCUCUAUGGGUGGUCCUGGAACGAGGCGAUUAACAGCCAUCACCGGAUUGGCCACUCCAUCGCCAUAAAUACAAUGCUCCGAGGCACAGGCACGCUCAUCGUACUGACACCUCUGACACUCCGGUCCAAGUCUCUGGUAAUUGUGCACCACCAGUUGGUAAUAGCAGUUUUGCGAUUGCCCUUCCUGGCAAACUCUUCUGCAGGGAUGACGAUCAAAGUCGCCAAAGUUGGCCAACUCCAUUUGGCUGUAGUCAUUCUUCAGGUCCAACGAGGGCUUAACCUUCGUGGUUUUAUUUCGCAUCCACGCAAACGAGGGCCACUCGAACUUGGCCUGCGGCGAAUCGGAGGACUCCUUGGAGGACUCACAUUGAGCCAGGUGUGAGCCGAAGGCCAGCAGUAUUAUCAGCACCAGGCUGGAUAGACUUUUACUUUCGCGUUCGAACAUCGCGAACCGCCAGGGGCAACUGGCCACUCGAUGCGCGGGCAGCCGACGAAGAAAGUUUUGGCCCAUUGGGCGACCCAGACCUUUGCGCAUGCGCCGCACGUAAUGGCCAUUAAAGCUGAGCUGAAUUUGAUAAGCUCGAAAUUGGUUGAUAUUGGGCGAUCAGGAAACGCGUGGAAGUUGGAACAGCAUAACAGUUUGGCUAAUUAUGCGAAUCUAAGUGUAAUGUAGCCAAAUAUUACUAUAAAUACCAAACAAUAAAACAAACUGUUUGGACACUGAUCACGGGCGCUGAUCAAAUCCUCAAUUGAGUAACUACAAAUUAUUUAUUAAGAGAGUGCAUAUGAAUACAAGUUAAAUCUCUGGGUUUUCCAUUGCAGGUGCUGCUGGGGCAGCUGUUGUCAUACCUGACGCACUGGCUGCUGUGCUCAUAAGACUAAUUACCCCACAGGCGAUGGCAGCACCCAGUGAGUUCUCCUCGUUCUGAUAGGCCAGCGGAUUUGGCAUCGCCUGAAGGGAGGAGGAGAAGACCUCUGCAUUUAGAGCGGUAUUCAGAUCGAUGGCCUUGCUGUGUAUCACUAUGGACCGUCCAACGAUGCCAUUGAUGCCAAACAAUUGCAGUACGUUUAGAGGGAAGCUUACAAAGUUAUUGGGAAACUGCCCGCCAGUGGACUUGCAACCAUCGCUGAGAUCUCCGAAGGUGUGAAUGUGCAGGGCAUGUUUGCCGGGCGGCAAUCCAGUCACAUUGAUCGUCAC